GACGAACGCUGGCGGCGCGCCUAACACAUUGCAAGUCGAACGAGCGAGAGAGAGUUUACUUUUUUCGAGCGAGUUGGCGAACGGGUGAGUAACGCGUGAGGAACCUGCCUCAAAGAGGGGGACAACAGUUGGAAACGACUGCUAAUACCGCAUAAGCCCACGGCUCGGCAUCGAGCAGAGGGAAAAGGAGCAAUCCGCUUUGAGAUGGCCUCGCGUCCGAUUAGCUAGUUGGUGAGGUAACGGCCCACCAAGGCGACGAUCGGUAGCCGGACUGAGAGGUUGAACGGCCACAUUGGGACUGAGACACGGCCCAGACUCCUACGGGAGGCAGCAGUGGGGAAUAUUGCACAAUGGGGGAAACCCUGAUGCAGCGACGCCGCGUGGAGGAAGAAGGUCUUCGGAUUGUAAACUCCUGUUGUUGAGGAAGAUAAUGACGGUACUCAACAAGGAAGUGACGGCUAACUACGUGCCAGCAGCCGCGGUAAAACGUAGGUCACAAGCGUUGUCCGGAAUUACUGGGUGUAAAGGGAGCGCAGGCGGGAAGACAAGUUGGAAGUGAAAUCCAUGGGCUCAACCCAUGAACUGCUUUCAAAACUGUUUUUCUUGAGUAGUGCAGAGGUAGGCGGAAUUCCCGGUGUAGCGGUGGAAUGCGUAGAUAUCGGGAGGAACACCAGUGGCGAAGGCGGCCUACUGGGCACCAACUGACGCUGAGGCUCGAAAGUGUGGGUAGCAAACAGGAUUAGAUACCCUGGUAGUCCACACCGUAAACGAUGAUUACUAGGUGUUGGAGGAUUGACCCCUUCAGUGCCGCAGUUAACACAAUAAGUAAUCCACCUGGGGAGUACGACCGCAAGGUUGAAACUCAAAGGAAUUGACGGGGGCCCGCACAAGCAGUGGAGUAUGUGGUUUAAUUCGACGCAACGCGAAGAACCUUACCAAGUCUUGACAUCCUGCGACGCACAUAGAAAUAUGUGUUUCCUUCGGGACGCAGAGACAGGUGGUGCAUGGUUGUCGUCAGCUCGUGUCGUGAGAUGUUGGGUUAAGUCCCGCAACGAGCGCAACCCUUAUGGUCAGUUACUACGCAAGAGGACUCUGGCCAGACUGCCGUUGACAAAACGGAGGAAGGUGGGGAUGACGUCGAAUCAUCAUGCCCUUUAUGACUUGGGCUACACACGUACUACAAUGGCGUUAAACAAAGAGAAGCAAGACCGCGAGGUGGAGCAAAACUCAGAAACAACGUCCCAGUUCGGACUGCAGGCUGCAACUCGCCUGCACGAAGUCGGAAUUGCUAGUAAUCGCAGAUCAGCAUGCUGCGGUGAAUACGUUCCCGGGCCU
rnacentral:rRNA from 1 species